GCGGCCGUGGCUGACUGGUCACGGUGUUUGCUUUGUAAGCGAAUGAUCCUGGGGUUCGAUUCCCAUCUGCUCCC
rnacentral:tRNA from 1 species